CCCUAGUCUGAGCGUUUGUUUGGAGACAGCUGUGCUGUAUUGACCCUGUAUGUAAUGUCGCUAUCACAUGUUUGGAACUCUGUGCUGUCUUUCUCUUUGUGACCCUCCAAACUGUAGUGUUUUGUCUGCUUUUCACACCCUGCCUAAUUACUGGGAAGAGAGUCCCAUUUCUGUGCGUUCCCUCUUGAUAUGUGACACAAGGGGCAGUGGCACGUGCUAUUAAUUGCAGGCCCUGUGAUUAUAAGCUAUGCAGGGUUGGCAAUUUGUGAGCUAAUUGGUGAUGCCUGUUUGCUGCAAUUAACCUCAUUAUGGUUUUGAUUACAUUAAUUAAACUCUUGUCCAGGACAGCAGCUGUUUAAUCAUUUGCCUUCAGGCUGUCCCCUCUGUGGGGGUCAUUCUGAAACCUGCUGUUUUGGAUUGUGACAGGAGAGAGUGGGAGGACAGGAGUGGUGAAUGUGAGCUAUAGUCAUGAGAAAGACAGUCUUGAGAUUUUUGUUUUGAUUUUAUACUUUCCCUUAAAAAAACCCAAACCCUACUGCAGAAUUUUAACUAUCGAUUGGUCUGUGAUGCUGCUAUUGUUAGAAACUGCUGAAGGUGUAAAUCUUCAGGGCUGGCAGGGAGAGCCAAUCAAUUUGCCCUUCAAUACGCACACACACAUUGCAUUAGAGUUAAUGGGUAUUAUGUGGGAUGCAAUCAUACUGAAAGGAGAGCAGACUGCUUUGCUUUGCUGCACAGAGCUCAAAAUGUGUCCUUUUCAUUGCUUUAUUUACCAAAAAAAAAAAAAAAAGGAAAAGAAAAGUUGAAGCUCAAAAGUCAUUUUGGGGAGAAUCUGGAUGUCUUCUCCAUGAAUGCCCAGCGCCUCCCACAGAAGACCUGAGUUCAGAAUUCCUCUGGAAGAGUUGAAGCCAGCCCCUAAGGCCCAAAGCAACAGACCGUGAAGCUACUUCCUUCCCUUAUAGGCAGUUUUGAUGCAAUCAGUUCCAGCAGGGAAAACAACCAUGAACUUGAUCCUGGCAGCUCUUUGAAAGAGAAGAAUUUUGAUUCUGAAUUCCUUCUGUG